UCAAGAGAUAACUAGGUCAGCGCCCUGU
rnacentral:misc_RNA from 1 species